GCACCGAUGGUGUAGUCACACACACUAUUGUUCAAUGUUUGGUAUAGUGGAUUUCUGUGUGGGUCCGGGGUUCGAAUCCCCGUUGGUGCA